GGGCCCGUGGUGUAAUGGUAGCAUUGUGAGGUUGUGGGGCGCCCACGCUUCACAGAUCUCGGUUCGAUUCCGGGCGGGCCCA